GGCCAUAUAGUGUAGUGGUUUAGCACACGGGAUUUUGAUUAGCCUUUGACUUCCCGUAACCCAAGUUCGACUCUUGGUAUGGCCC